AUUGAACGCUGGCGGCAGGCCUAACACAUGCAAGUCGAGCGGUUGACGGGAGCUUGCUCCCUGAUUCAGCGGCGGACGGGUGAGUAAUGCCUAGGAAUCUGCCUAUUAGUGGGGGACAACGUUUCGAAAGGAACGCUAAUACCGCAUACGUCCUACGGGAGAAAGCAGGGGACCUUCGGGCCUUGUGCUAAUAGAUGAGCCUAGGUCGGAUUAGCUUGUUGGUGAGGUAAUGGCUCACCAAGGCGACGAUCCGUAACUGGUCUGAGAGGAUGAACAGUCACACUGGAACUGAGAAACGGUCCAGACUCCUACGGGAGGCAGCAGUGGGGAAUAUUGGACAAUGGGCGAAAGCCUGAUCCAGCCAUGCCGCGUGUGUGAAGAAGGUCUUCGGAUUGUAAAGCACUUUAAGUUGGGAGGAAGGGUUGUGGAUUAAUACUCUGCAAUUUUGACGUUACCGACAGAAUAAGCACCGGCUAACUCUGUGCCAGCCGCCGCGGUAAAAC
rnacentral:rRNA from 1 species